rnacentral:rRNA from 1 species
UGCAGUCGAGCGGCAGCAGCGGGAGUGCCUGGCUACUUUGGCAGGCGAGCGGCAGAGGGGUGAGUAGUGUGGGGGAAAGUGCGAGAGGGAGGGGGAUAACUAGGGGAAACGGUCUCUAAUACCGCAAAGUGUCGCAAGACCAAAGAGGGAGACCUUCGGGCCUCUCGCCAUCAUAUGUGCCCAUAUGGGAUUAUCUUGUGUGUGGGGUAAGGGCUCACCUGGCGACAAUAUCCCUAUCUGGUCAGAGAAGAUGACCACCCACAGUGGAACUGACACACGGUCCACACUCCUACGGGGGGCAGCUGUGGGGAAUAUUGCACAGUGGGCGCACGCCUGAUGCACCCGUGCCGCGUGUAUGAAAAGGGCCUUCGGGUUGUAAAGUACUUUCCGCGGGGAAGAGUGUGUUGAGGUUAAUAACCUCAGCAUUUGAUUUUACCCGCAAAAAAAGCCCCGGCAAACUCCGUGCCAGCCCCCGCGGUUAUACAGAGGGUGCACGCGUUAAUCAGAUUUAGUGGGCGUAAAGCGCACGCGGGCUGUCUGUCAUGUCAGAUGUGAUAUCCCGGGGCUCAACGUGGGAUCUGCUUUCAACUGUGGCGCGCUAGAGUCGUGUAGAGGGGGGUAGUACUCCGUGUGUAGCUGUGAUAUGCAUAGAUAUCUAGAAGAACACCUGUCGAGAGCGCCGCCCUGUGCACAGACACUGACGCUCAGGUGCGAAAGCGUGGGGAGCAAACAGGAUUAGAUACCCUGGUAGUCCACGCCGUAAACGAUGUCGACUUGGAGGUUGUGCCCUUGAGGCGUGGCUUCCGGAGCUAACGCGUUAAGUCGACCGCCUGGGGAGUACGGCCGCAAGGUUAAAACUCAAAUGAAUUGACGGGGGCCCGCACACAGCGGUCGAGCAUGUGGUUUAAUUCGAUGCAACGCGAAGAACCUUACCUACUCUUGACAUCCAGAGAACUUAGCAGAUGAUGCUUUGGUGCCUUCGGGAACUCUGAGACAUGGUGCUGCAUGGCUCGUCGUCAGCUCGUGUUGUGAAAUGUUGGGUUAAGUCCCGCAACGAGCGCAACCCUUACUCUCUUUGUUGCCAGCGGUCCGGCCGGGAACUCAAAGGAGACUGCCAGUGAUAAACUGGAGGAAGGUGGGGAUGACGUCAAGUCAUCAUGGCCCUUACGAGUAGGGCUACACACGUGCUACAAUGGCGCAUACAAAGAGAAGCGACCUCGCGAGAGCAAGCGGACCUCAUAAAGUGCGUCGUAGUCCGGAUUGGAGUCUGCAACUCGACUCCAUGAAGUCGGAAUCGCUAGUAAUCGUAGAUCAGAAUGCUACGGUGAAUACGUUCCCGGGCCUUGUACACACCGCCCGUCACACCAUGGGAGUGGGUUGCAAAAGAAGUAGGUAGCUUAACCUUCGGGAGGGCGC